GACGAACGCUGGCGGCGUGCUUAACACAUGCAAGUCGAACGGAAAGGCCCUGCUUGCAGGGUACUCGAGUGGCGAACGGGUGAGUAACACGUGGGUGAUCUGCCCUGCACUUCGGGAUAAGCCUGGGAAACUGGGUCUAAUACCGGAUAGGAGCCAUUUUUAGUGUGAUGGUUGGAAAGUUUUUUCGGUGUAGGAUGAGCUCGCGGCCUAUCAGCUUGUUGGUGGGGUAAUGGCCUACCAAGGCGGCGACGGGUAGCCGGCCUGAGAGGGUGGACGGCCACAUUGGGACUGAGAUACGGCCCAGACUCCUACGGGAGGCAGAAGUGGGGAAUAUUGCACAAUGGGCGCAAGCCUGAUGCGGCGACGCCGCGUGGGGGAUGACGGCCUUCGGGUUGUAAACUCCUUUCGCUAGGGACGAAGCUUUUUGUGACGGUACCUAGAUAAGAAGCACCGGCUAACUACGUG
rnacentral:rRNA from 1 species